rnacentral:rRNA from 1 species
CGUCUCAGUUCGGACUGUAGUCUGCAACUCGACUACACGAAGCUGGAAUCGCUAGUAAUCGCGAAUCAGAAUGUCGCGGUGAAUACGUUCCCGGGUCUUGUACACACCGCCCGUCACACCAUGGGAGCCGGGAAUGCCCGAAGUCAGUGGCCCAACCGCAGGGAGGGAGCUGCCGAAGGCAGGCCCGGUGACUGGGGUGAAGUCGUAACAAGGUAAC